rnacentral:rRNA from 1 species
UACGGGGGGAGCAAGCGUUGUUCGGAUUUACUGGGCGUAAAGGGCGCGUAGGCGGCCAGCGCAAGUCAGUUGUGAAAUCUCCGGGCUUAACUCGGAACGGUCAACUGAUACUGCGCGGCUAGAGUGCAGAAGGGGCAACUGGAAUUCUCGGUGUAGCGGUGAAAUGCGCAGAUAUCAGGAGGAACACCGAUGGCGAAGGCAGGUCUCUGGGCCACUACUGACGCUGAGAAGCGAAAGCAUGGGGAGCGAACAGG